GCCCCGGUGUGCACAGCCAGGCGGGAUUUCCUUGGCUGGUUGGUGCCCACGGCCGCGGGGAGAGUGUGGGCUCUGGAAGGUAGCAAACAUUAGCGCCCCGUCUGAGCCUCGGCCAGACUUUCCCACGGGGAGCCUGUCGUCCUGGAGGCCACCUCCCUGUAGCCGCGUAACACCUGUCACCUGGAUAUUUCUGAAAUUAAUGGGGUUUUUAACACUUUUGGAUACCUGUUUAUAUCACAAAUGUAGCUUUUUGACAUCCGUGACACCUUUCACUUUAUUAUUUCAUUUUUUACAGUCUGUUUAUUUAUUUUGAGAGAGAGUGAGAGAGAGUGAGAGGGAGAGAGAUAAUCCCUGUGCUGUCAGCACAGAGCCCCCUCGGGGCUCGAUCCCAUGAACCAAGAUCACGACCUGAGCCAAUAUCAAGGGUCGGACACUUAACUGACAUAGCUACCCGGGCUCCCUGACAUCUUUCAUUUUAACGAACCCUCCCCUGUCCCCAGCCAUGAGGACAACAGGUUCUGAUUUAGCUUUUUAACAUCUCAGUCAUGUGCCAGAGUGAAGGGCUGUUGGUAAAAACCCUUUGAGCUACUAGUCUGACCAUUUUAACUAGGGAGCCACGGAAGUAUGCUGGGAGCCCACUGUAUGGGCUGGGGCUGUGUGAGAAGAAGAACCACAAAGGGAGGUCCAUGUACGUUCACCCAGAGAUUUGGCGCAAGGAGCCGGCUCACGCAGUAUGGGGGCUGACCAGACCCAGGGUGUGCAGGGAGAGUCAGCACGCUGGCGCCCCGCGAGAGUAGAUGCUGCACUGGCCCGAAGCUGGGGGGCCAGAGACCCAGCAACAGUCCACGUAUCAGUUCAAGUUUCCAGGGAGCAAAAAGCUGAUUCCCCAAUUUGAAGACAGUCAGGCAGGAGGAAUUCUCUCCUACUCAUAGGCGGGUCAGCUUUUCAUUCUAGUCAGGCCUUCAACUGAUUGGGUGUGGCCCACCCGGAGGGCCCUCUGCUUUCUCCGUCUACCGAUUCAAAUGUUGACUCAGCAGAAAACAAAAAACAAAAAACACACCCUCACAUAAGCACCUAGAAUAGUGUUUGACUAAAUGUCUGGCUCAGUCAAGGUGACACAGAAGGUUAACCGUCAGGUGUCAUACUUGUAAUUUUCCAACAUUCCUCAGAACAACUACGCUUUCGUCCUCAACCACCAGCACAGAGCAAAACUCCACCGGGUGUGCACGACACAGCGGGAGGGCCGGAGUGGCCAGGACGGGCUGGAAGCGAGAAGCCUGAUUCUCUUCAUACACGGAUGAUGCUUCAAAGGGCGGCGUAUCCUGACUUCUUCUGACGUGCAAGUCCACAGGCCAGGGGGAGCCGCCACGUAAGAGCUCUGCAGACACAACUGCUAACCUCCACGGAUCUCAGCACCACGGCCAGACCCACAAAGGAUGCGAACGUCCCAGUCUUCAUCCCUUGUCCCCGAACCUCAGAUGCCACACGUGGCAAUGAGGUCAGAGACAUGGCUGUGGCAGGACGUCCGCUUCCAGGAGAGCAUGGAGGAGAGCCCUCCACGUCACCUUUCCACAGGUCAGGGGAUUCACGACACUCCUGGCCAGGAGCCUCGACUGGAUUUGGUUUCCCGUCAGCAGGAGGAGCUUGGAUUUAGUACACGCCCAGCAGAGCAGUGGGCACCCCAUGCGUCUGUGUGACUGAGAGGAAGAUC